rnacentral:rRNA from 1 species
GUUAUAUGGUCAAGUGAAGAAGCGCAUACGGUGGAUGCCUUGGCAGUCAGAGGCGAUGAAAGACGUGGUAGCCUGCGAAAAGCUUCGGGGAGUCGGCAAACAGACUUUGAUCCGGAGAUGUCUGAAUGGGGGAACCCAGCCAUCAUAAGAUGGUUAUCUUGUACUGAAUACAUAGGUGCAAGAGGCGAACCAGGGGAACUGAAACAUCUAAGUACCCUGAGGAAAAGAAAUCAACCGAGAUUCCCUUAGUAGUGGCGAGCGAACGGGGACUAGCCCUUAAGUGGCUUUGAGAUUAGCGGAACGCUCUGGAAAGUGCGGCCAUAGUGGGUGAUAGCCCUGUACGCGAAAAUCUCUUAGUCAUGAAAUCGAGUAGGACGGGGCACGAGAAACCUUGUCUGAAUAUGGGGGGACCAUCCUCCAAGGCUAAAUACUACUGACUGACCGAUAGUGAACUAGUACCGUGAGGGAAAGGCGAAAAGAACCCCGGAGAGGGGAGUGAAAUAGAUCCUGAAACCGUAUGCGUACAAGCAGUGGGAGCCCACUUUGUUGGGUGACUGCGUACCUUUUGUAUAAUGGGUCAGCGACUUAUUUUCAGUGGCGAGCUUAACCGAAUAGGGGAGGCGUAGCGAAAGCGAGUCUUAAUAGGGCGUCUAGUCGCUGGGAAUAGACCCGAAACCGGGCGAUCUAUCCAUGGGCAGGUUGAAGGUUAGGUAACACUGACUGGAGGACCGAACCGACUACCGUUGAAAAGUUAGCGGAUGACCUGUGGAUCGGAGUGAAAGGCUAAUCAAGCUCGGAGAUAGCUGGUUCUCCUCGAAAGCUAUUUAGGUAGCGCCUCAUGUAUCACUGUAGGGGGUAGAGCACUGUUUCGGCUAGGGGGUCAUCCCGACUUACCAAACCGAUGCAAACUCCGAAUACCUACAAGUGCCGAGCAUGGGAGACACACGGCGGGUGCUAACGUCCGUCGUGAAAAGGGAAACAACCCAGACCGUCAGCUAAGGUCCCAAAGUCAUGGUUAAGUGGGAAACGAUGUGGGAAGGCUUAGACAGCUAGGAGGUUGGCUUAGAAGCAGCCACCCUUUAAAGAAAGCGUAAUAGCUCACUAGUCGAGUCGGCCUGCGCGGAAGAUGUAACGGGGCUCAAACCAUGCACCGAAGCUACGGGUAUCACUUAGGUGAUGCGGUAGAGGAGCGUUCUGUAAGCCUGUGAAGGUGAGUUGAGAAGCUUGCUGGAGGUAUCAGAAGUGCGAAUGCUGACAUGAGUAACGACAAUGGGUGUGAAAAACACCCACGCCGAAAGACCAAGGUUUCCUGCGCAACGUUAAUCGACGCAGGGUUAGUCGGUCCCUAAGGCGAGGCUGAAAAGCGUAGUCGAUGGAAAACAGGUUAAUAUUCCUGUACUUCUGGUUAUUGCGAUGGAGGGACGGAGAAGGCUAGGCCAGCUUGGCGUUGGUUGUCCAAGUUUAAGGUGGUAGGCUGGAAUCUUAGGUAAAUCCGGGAUUCCAAGGCCGAGAGCUGAUGACGAGUGUUCUUUUAGAACACGAAGUGGUUGAUGCCAUGCUUCCAAGAAAAGCUUCUAAGCUUCAGGUAACCAGGAACCGUACCCCAAACCGACACAGGUGGUUGGGUAGAGAAUACCAAGGCGCUUGAGAGAACUCGGGUGAAGGAACUAGGCAAAAUGGCACCGUAACUUCGGGAGAAGGUGCGCCGGUGAGGGUGAAGGACUUGCUCCGUAAGCUCAUGCCGGUCGAAGAUACCAGGCCGCUGCGACUGUUUAUUAAAAACACAGCACUCUGCAAACACGAAAGUGGACGUAUAGGGUGUGACGCCUGCCCGGUGCCGGAAGGUUAAUUGAUGGGGUUAGCUAACGCGAAGCUCUUGAUCGAAGCCCCGGUAAACGGCGGCCGUAACUAUAACGGUCCUAAGGUAGCGAAAUUCCUUGUCGGGUAAGUUCCGACCUGCACGAAUGGCGUAACGAUGGCGGCGCUGUCUCCACCCGAGACUCAGUGAAAUUGAAAUCGCUGUGAAGAUGCAGUGUAUCCGCGGCUAGACGGAAAGACCCCGUGAACCUUUACUAUAGCUUUGCACUGGACUUUGAAUUUGCUUGUGUAGGAUAGGUGGGAGGCUUUGAAGCGUGGACGCCAGUUCGCGUGGAGCCAUCCUUGAAAUACCACCCUGGCAACUUUGAGGUUCUAACUCAGGUCCGUUAUCCGGAUCGAGGACAGUGUAUGGUGGGUAGUUUGACUGGGGCGGUCUCCUCCUAAAGAGUAACGGAGGAGUACGAAGGUGCGCUCAGACCGGUCGGAAAUCGGUCGUAGAGUAUAAAGGCAAAAGCGCGCUUGACUGCGAGACAGACACGUCGAGCAGGUACGAAAGUAGGUCUUAGUGAUCCGGUGGUUCUGUAUGGAAGGGCCAUCGCUCAACGGAUAAAAGGUACUCCGGGGAUAACAGGCUGAUACCGCCCAAGAGUUCAUAUCGACGGCGGUGUUUGGCACCUCGAUGUCGGCUCAUCACAUCCUGGGGCUGAAGCCGGUCCCAAGGGUAUGGCUGUUCGCCAUUUAAAGUGGUACGCGAGCUGGGUUUAGAACGUCGUGAGACAGUUCGGUCCCUAUCUGCCGUGGACGUUUGAGAUUUGAGAGGGGCUGCUCCUAGUACGAGAGGACCGGAGUGGACGAACCUCUGGUGUUCCGGUUGUCACGCCAGUGGCAUUGCCGGGUAGCUAUGUUCGGAAAAGAUAACCGCUGAAAGCAUCUAAGCGGGAAACUUGCCUCAAGAUGAGAUCUCACUGGAACCUUGAGUUCCCUGAAGGGCCGUCGAAGACUACGACGUUGAUAGGCAGGGUGUGUAAGCGCUGUGAGGCGUUGAGCUAACCUGUACUAAUUGCCCGUGAGGCUUGACCAUAUAACACCCAAGCA